CCUACACGACCGUACCGCAAACCGACACUGGUGCGCGAGAUGAGUAUUCUAAGGCGCUUGAGAGAACUCAGGAGAAGGAACUCGGCAAAUUGACACCGUAACUUCGGAAGAAGGUGUGCCUUUAGUAGGUGAAGUCCCUCGCGGAUGGAGCCCAAUGAGGUUGCAAAGAAUCGGUGGCUGCGACUGUUUAUUAAGAACACAGCACUCUGCAAACACGAAAGUGGACGUAUAGGGUGUGACGCCUGCCCGGUGCUGGAAGAUUAAAUGAUGGGGUGCAAGCUCUUGAUUGAAGUCCCAGUAAACGGCGGCCGUAACAAUAACGGUCCUAAGGUAGCGAAAUUCCUUGUCGGGUAAGUUCCGACCUGCACGAAUGGCGUAACGAUGGCCACACUGUCUCCUCCUGAGACUCAGCGAAGUUGAAAUGUUUGUGAUGAUGCAAUCUCCCCGCGGAAAGACGGAAAGACCCCAUGAACCUUUACUGUAGCUUUGUAUUGGACUUUGAACAGAUCUGUGUAGGAUAGGUGGGAGGCUUUGAAGCAGGGUCGCUAGAUCUUGUGGAGCCAACGUUGAAAUACCACCCUGGUGUGUUUGAGGUUCUAACCUAGGCCCGUAAUCCGGGUUGGGGACAGUGCAUGGUAGGCAGUUUGACUGGGGCGGUCUCCUCCCAAAGUGUAACGGAGGAGUUCGAAGGUACGCUAGUUACGGUCGGACAUCGUGACGAUAGUGCAAUGGCAUAAGCGUGCUUAACUGCGAGACUGACAAGUCGAGCAGAUGCGAAAGCAGGACAUAGUGAUCCGGUGGUUCUGUAUGGAAGGGCCAUCGCUCAACGGAUAAAAGGUACUCUGGGGAUAACAGGCUGAUACCGCCCAAGAGUUCAUAUCGACGGCGGUGUCUGGCACCUCGAUGUCGGCUCAUCUCAUCCUGGGGCUGUAGCCGGUCCCAAGGAUAUGGCUGUUCGCCAUUUAAAGAGGUACGUGAGCUGGGUUUAAAACGUCGUGAGACAGUUUGGUCCCUAUCUUCCGUGGGCGCUGCAGAUUUGAGGAAGCCUGCUCCUAGUACGAGAGGACCGGAGUGGACGCACCUCUGGUGUAUCGGUUGUCACGCCAGUGGCAUUGCCGAGUAGCUAUGUGCGGAAGAGAUAACCGCUGAAAGCAUCUAAGCGGGAAACUCGUUUCAAGAUGAGAUCUGCCGGGGCCUUGAGCCCCCUGAAGAGUCGUUCAAGACCAGGACGUUGAUAGGUCGGGUGUGGAAGCGCAGUAAUGCGUUAAGCUAACCGAUACUAAUUGCUCGUGCGGCUUGACC
rnacentral:rRNA from 1 species